UAUGAACCGUUAUAACCGGCGAUUUCCGAAUGGGGAAACCCAGUGUGAUUCGUCACACUAUCAUUAACUGAAUCCAUAGGUUAAUGAGGCGAACCGGGGGAACUGAAACAUCUAAGUACCCCGAGGAAAAGAAAUCAACCGAGAUUCCCCCAGUAGCGGCGAGCGAACGGGGAGGAGCCCAGAGCCUGAAUCAGUGUGUGUGUUAGUGGAAGCGUCUGGAAAGGCGCGCGAUACAGGGUGACAGCCCCGUACACAAAAAUGCACAUGCUGUGAGCUCGAUGAGUAGGGCGGGACACGUGGUAUCCUGUCUGAAUAUGGGGGGACCAUCCUCCAAGGCUAAAUACUCCUG
rnacentral:rRNA from 1 species